rnacentral:lncRNA from 1 species
UCAUUAUCCGCCGGUUCAAUGGGCCUCGCCACCGUAGAAGACCUAUCGAUAGCUGGAAGAGUCACCGGAGAAAGCUCUUUGUUAGAACUGCUUGCCAUUGAUAACUACUGAGCAAUGAGUAAACGAAGCUUUCUGGAGAGGAAAUGAAAAUGGAGAUUUAGUGAAAGAGGAGAAAAAUAACAUGAGCUGGUAUAGAAAAGUUGCUUCUUCGAAAAUCUUAGACAGAUAUCGAAAAGUGAGAACAGAUAACAUUACUCAAUAUUUAUACUACAAAGUGGCUUCCCCGAAUUCCAAAAACCACCAUUAACUGCCCAACCAACCGAAAAAUGGUUUGAAUCCAUAAGUAACGAGUAUCAUUAAGACAGAUAUCGUGAAAUGGUUUUUGCAACCGUCAGUCGACGCUUCAUUCUCGAGGCAGG